UAUUAGGUUGGUGCAAAAGUAAUUGCGGUUUUUACCAUUAAUUUUAGUGACAAAAACCGCAAUUACCUUUGCACCAACCUAAUAC
ensembl:miRNA